rnacentral:rRNA from 1 species
GAUGAACGCUGGCGGCGUGCCUAAUACAUGCAAGUCGAGCGAACAGACGAGGAGCUUGCUCCUCUGACGUUAGCGGCGGACGGGUGAGUAAAACGUGGAUAACCUACCUCUAAGACUGGGAUAACUUCGGGAAAAAGGAGCUACUACCGGAUAAUAUAUUGAACCGCAUGGUUCAAUAGUGAAAGACGGUUUUGCUGUCACUUAUAGAUGGAUCCGCGCCGCAUUAGCUAGUUGGUAAGGUAACGGCUUACCAAGGCAACGAUGCGUAGCCGACCUGAGAGGAUGAUCGGCCACACUGGAACUGAGACACGGUCCAGACUCCUACGGGAGGCAGCAGUAGGGAAUCUUCCGCAAUGGGCGAAAGCCUGACGGAGCAACGCCGCGUGAGUGAUGAAGGUCUUCGGAUCGUAAAACUCUGUUAUUAGGGAAGAACAAAUGUGUAAGAAACUAUGCACGUCUUGACGGUACCUAAUCAGAAAGCCACGGCUAACUACGUG